AAAUGUCAUUUAUUCCUGUGAUUGCAAAGCUGAAUUUUCAGCAUCCAAUCUUCAGUGUCACAUGAUGUUUCAGAAAUCAUUCUAAUUGGUGCUCAAGAAAUAUUUCUGAUCACUGUUGAAAUAGUUGUGCUGUUAAUGUUUUUGCAGAAAUCUUUUUUUAAUAUAGAUUUUUUAGGAUGCUUUGCUGAAUAAAAGUAUUAAUUUGUUUAAAAACAAAAAACUUACUGUCUCCAAGUAGUGUAUACAUAAAAAAUCCAUAAUUUGCACAAUGAUUUUAAUGGCACUUUUUUUCUUCCGUAGAUUGUGUAUUGCGUUGUUUUGUGUUCAGUUACGUGAGCUGCCACAACAAAAUAAACCAGCACGGGGGGGAGACGGUGGCUGCACUGACAUUGCUGGCGAUGAUGACGGGUCCUGCGCAACAAAGCUGUUCGCUGGACUGGGCGGCCUGCGGAGUAGAUUGAUUACCCGCAGAAUCACGGUACCACCAGCAUGUCUGUGGGGCGAGAGCUCUUAUUGGCCUCCCCCACCAUCGAUCCCUAUACACGGCCCUCCACUUCAAUCCCUUCAUUUCUCACCGCCUGGCCGCUGGAGGUGGCAGCGGAUGGCAGUAAAUCAGGUCUGGUGGAGAUGGCAGCGUAUGGGGUAGAAGUGAUGAAAGAGGAAAGAGAGCUCUCUGAGAUCUGGGCAGUUCAGUCAGCAUCUCAGCAGGCCUUAUGGAGACUAUUGAGGACUGCACUGGCUUUUUAGGUCCCUUUGAACAGGUGCUUUUCUCCCAGUGCUGCUGGCUUUGCUUUGGAUUUCCAAACACAAAGAGCUGCUAUAUCCCAUACAUUUAAAGCCCCCACUUGUUUGUGCGUGGACACACACACAUGCACUUAUGAGUACACGUGGAAGCAAAUGCACAAGCUCAAACACACUUUUGGGGGUCCUCUCGGAGGGAUUUCCUUUGCACCUGUUUAUUUGUUCUUUUUUCCCCCCUCAAUAUAUAUAUAUAUAUAUAUAUAUAUAUAUAUAGAGUGGAUCUAACUCACCCAAAACAGUGUGGAUGAAUGUGAGUGGCAAAAUAUCCUCUGGGUUCUCCCUCUUUCUGACUCUGUCUGUCUUUCUCUCUAUCUCUGUCUCUCUCUUAAAGACUCCUCCGGAUCUCAUGAUUUAUGUAUGAGGCUGAGGCGUGAUUCAUCUUGGCAUGGGGAGAGAAGUUGUCCUUUGUCUUCUGCUCUGUUGGCCAGUAAGAGGUUUCCUGAGGUCUGGAGAAGGGUCUUAGAGUUGUUCUGGACUCAAAUAGAUGUGUGUGUGUGUGUGUGCAUGUGUGUGUAUGUGUGAAAGAUAGAGAAGUGAGACUCUUUCUGGAGGUGUGGGAGUUUGCCCCACAGUUAUUACCCAACUGGAACUGCUUCAGUAUGGUGUUGGAGCCAGAUUGCGACAGACACACCAUGUAAACAAAUAAACAAACAACCCUAGACUGUCAGAUACGCAGCAAGGAGGCUUAAUCUUAUUAUUGCUUAAACAGGACCCCGGUGGGAAAUAUAAAGAUCUAACUAAUCUAAAAAACUGGAAUCUACUCACAUUACAAUGUUGUGAAUGUAACAUAAAUAUAAGUAAAAUUAAAGUGGUUGUCCCAGAUUUUUCCCAACCAGACAGGCUAUUAACGUGGGUGACACAUAGGAGAUAACAUAAGGUAGUUAAUUGAAAUAAAAGAUUAGCAUGAAAUCUUAAAUGAAUAGCAAGUCUUUGACAAGAAGUAGUUUUAGUAAUAUGAAAUAUGUGAAAGGUAUGAAUAAAUGCAGUUUGUUUUGUUUUAUUUUAUUUUAUAAAAAUAUAGAUAUGAAUGUUAUGUAAUUUGUUUGAACAUAUUAUUAGUUUUUGAUUUGUAUAUAUGUAAUUAUUAUACUAAUGACAAUUUUAUGUACUGCAUGUAUAUGUAUCUAUUUGCACUGUUGUAUAAAAUAUAUAGUUGUACAAA